rnacentral:sRNA from 1 species
AUGGCCAUUCCCGGCAUCCCCUAUGAGAGACGGCUUCUCAUCAUGGCGGACCCUAGAGAUAAGGCGCUUCAGGACUACCGCAAGAAGUUGCUUGAACACAAGGAGAUCGACGGCCGUCUUAAGGAGUUAAGGGAACAAUUAAAAGAACUUACCAAGCAGUAUGAAAAGUCUGAAAAUGAUCUGAAGGCCCUACAGAGUGUUGGGCAGAUCGUGGGUGAAGUGCUUAAACAGUUAACUGAAGAAAAAUUCAUUGUUAAAGCUACCAAUGGACCAAGAUAUGUUGUGGGUUGUCGUCGACAGGUAAUACUUUAUAUUUGUAUAGUGCCUGAUGAUUGACAAAGCAGUUUCAUGUAAGUUAUUGUCUCCAAUUCUUGAGUCAAGCAGGUGGAGCAUUUAUGCCCGUAACUCACAAGGAUGAUUUGUUCAGACAUAGCUAGUUAUUAACAAAGCCUGAAUUCAAACCAUGGGCUUUGACUCCUGGCAUUCCGUACUUUCUACUGUAUUACAUUGUCUCAGUCAGAUCUAUUAAUAGCCACUUAGAAAUAAAAGUAUUUUAGAACUGGAAAACAGAC